UACGUAGGGGGCAAGCGUUGUCCGGAUUUAUUGGGCGUAAAGAGCGUGUAGGCGGCUUUACAGGUCCGUUGUGAAAACUCGAGGCUCAACCUCGAGACGCCGGUGGAAACCGUAAGGCUAGAGUCCGGAAGAGGAGAGUGGAAUUCCUGGUGUAGCGGUGAAGUGCGCAGAUAUCAGGAGGAACACCCGUGGCGAAAGCGGCUCUCUGGGACGGUACUGACGCUGAGGCGCGAAAGCUAGGGGAGCAAACGGG
rnacentral:rRNA from 1 species